rnacentral:rRNA from 1 species
UACGUAGGGUGCGAGCGUUGUCCGGAAUUAUUGGGCGUAAAGGGCUCGUAGGCGGUUUGUCGCGUCGGGAGUGAAAUCCACUGGCUUAACUGGUGGCUUGCUUUCGAUACGGGCAGACUGGAGGUAUGCAGGGGAGAACGGAAUUCCUGGUGUAGCGGUGAAAUGCGCAGAUAUCAGGAGGAACACCGGUGGCGAAGGCGGGUCUCUGGGCCGAUACUGACGCUGAGGAGCGAAAAGCGUGGGGGAGCGAAACAGG